GGCUUGUCUCCAGAUUCCAACAUUAGAAACAACUGCUGGGAUGAAGAUUAAGAAGCAUUGCAUAGAAAUCUCCUCCUAUAACUAAUGAACAUUUUUUAUCCCGAGAAGGACAGUUCCAUGGUCUGUUUUGGGGAAUUGUCUAUUUGAAGGAGUGUCCAAGGUGGCUUAAAGAUGAUGAACCAUCAUUACAAGGGGUCGGGCCUUGAAGCAGUCCAUCAGCAGCACCUGGGCAGCAGACUGAGCAUGGCACACAGGACGGCUGGGCACAGCCUGCCUUAAUAGGCCAACAAACUAUAACCACAAGAAAGCAAGGCUCUGUGCAUGAACAAUGUGAUUUGUUGAACCCAAACUGGAACCUACUUCCAAGAAUCCUCCUCUUCUGUAGCCCUGGGCUCCACCAGUAGCCCUGGGUGUGCCCCUUUGAAGAAGGGCUAGCCUCCUAGAUCUAUGUAGGCCAUCUAAACGGGUAGCUGUUCUAGCCCAGCACUGUGUCAUAGGGGCAGGGACUAGAUCAGGUUCAUCUUCCCUUGUUCCCCUUCUUCUCUGCUUCCACGGUCUGCCUGAACAUCUGGAGAGAGCAACUCUGAGAUCACCUCACUAUCCUCCACCAUCUUGGAUUCCACACUCCAUUUUCCAGCCAUCACAGUCCUCAUCCAAAGACCCUGGAAACUGUGUCAAGAAUAACUGCCUCUUUCAUUCCCCGACAACACCUGAGCGCACCUGGAUCUCCUUACAGUUGCUAUUCUUGUCAGUGUGGCUAGCACAGAACUCCUACUUAAGUCCCACCAAAAUGAACUGAGCUGUGAAGCCAUAGCUAUUUUAAUUGCCCCCAUCAUAGGAAUUACUCUUUUUCCAUUGAGUGGAACUAUUCUUUGGAACUCUUUUAAAAUUAAAAAUGGUUUUAUAAUUAUAAAUAAAAGCCAUCUUGGUGCCAGAAUAUGGAUGAUUCUCAGGAAUUAUAUCUGAGAGUAUAUUUCUAGUGUUAAUUUCACUGAGGCUGAUAAUAUUUAAAGUUCAGCCCAGGCAGAUCACAUAUGCAGAUAUUUGUAUCUGCAUAGAAAUGUAGCUCUGGGACUGUUCAUGGAAAGUAUUGUUCCCAUAUGUUCAACAAACAAGAUAAUGUGCAGUAUUUUUUCCUUUACAGAUAUGACAGAGUGCAACCUUUUUUGCUGGACUUGCAUUAUGUGUUAAGACUAUUUUGAAUAUGUUGUUGUUGUUGUUGUUGUUGUUGAAAAUAGCUCCACUUGCAUGGGAUUUUAACAUAAGGAACAUGAUCCAGUUUAAUUAGUUUUGCCAAUUCACUUGGUGGGAUAUGGCUUGCACCCAAGAAGAGCCUGAUCUGAUACAGAAAGUCAUAAUAUGUAAAGAACACUGAACUCUAUAUUGCUAGUUGGAACAAUAGGUUAUAAUUUUUCAUAAACAGAGAACAUUCCAGAGGUUUCUGUGGGACAAGAAAUAAUUUUAUUCUUUGGAUCUCUUCUCUUUCCCACUCACUCAAAAGUAUCCAGGGUUAAUAUCUUUACACCAACUCCAUGGGAAAAUUUAUGCUAAGUGAUGACAAUGUAUCACUCUGGCCACCAACAUAGGAAGGUGCGUAAUAAUGGGUUACAUUAUUCAUCCUUCUGGCAUGGUAUUGACUGAGUUCAGACAAUAUAAUAACCCACACUCAAGGACUCACCACCAGUGGUUAUCACUGAAACAGACUAUCAUGUGAUCUCAGCCCAGCUGAAAUUACAAACAAUGAUGGAGAACUCAACCCAGAAACAGACUUUGCAUUCUCUUCAUGGUUUGUUUGAGGUGAACAAGCCAUGGCUUGUAAGUGCAGCUGGGUUUGGACAAUACAAUAACCCACAUUUCAGCAUCAACCCAUGGUUCAAUAACAGCCCAUACUCAAACCUUCGGUGUGGGAUAUUUUCUUGUAUAAAUCCAGUAAUUGACUCCUCUGAUGGGCAGAAACUCUCCAUGGUUGUAGGCAGAUGUCUUUGACAUUCAAAAUCCAGUUGAAUAAGCACUUAGCCAUCAGAUAUACAUGCUAAGGCAGAAUCUAAUUCAUUGCAGAUACAAUACAGUUAACUGCUUGACUUCAUUAAUCCCAUAUACUACACCUUAAUCACCUGUAGAAAAAGCACAUGCUAGAGCAGAGACUUGAAGAUAGCCCUGUCAUAUUGACUCUGAAUUCAACACUUUCUCUUACAAAGAAUAUUGGUGUUUAUUUUAUUGGUAAAGUAAAAUCACCAAUAAGAUUGGUCUGUGAAAUGUGUGGGAUAUGGAACAGUAUUUAUUUCUCUAGACAACAAGUCUAGAUAGAAGCAUCUCACAGGAAAUUAAGCAUUAUUGAUGUUCAAACAUUAGCAUCUCCUUGACAUCAUUAACAGCUAUAAAGUGUAAGUGUAUAUUUCAUUAAGUAUAUAAAGGAUGAGGCUAUUGAAGAACAGCUUAGGGAUAAAGGGCCAGGGGAGAAUUACAAUUCACUGCUUUCUCCAAGAUAUCCCAUCAUAAUUUUGAGAUUAGUUUACAAAAGGAUUCUUGACAUUUUAGCCAACGGUCAAUAUUUAGGAAAGAUUCACCUCUUUGUUCUAACUAUUGUGCCUACUGACUAAGCUACUGAGUAGGCAAAAGUCUGAUGCAGAAUUGGCAAUCCUGUAUGCUGACUGGAUUCUCCUUUGUAUGGGAUGCAGAUGGAAAAUUUACAGCCCCAUCAACACUCUUGGGCCAUUUAUAUCACAUAAUGCCUUAAACUGCAAAGCACAUGAAAGGACAUGAUUUUUUUUCUUCUCACUAUCAGUGACAAUUAUGAUGUGCACACCUGGAAUUAACUGGAAUAGCAUGAUUCAGUGUCCAUAAUUUCUACUGGCCUGGUUUGUGCUUGGGAACAAUCUUUACUACAUUUCUCAGAAGCUCUGCUACUCCUAAUUUGGGCUUAGAUCAAAAUGGGUGCAUGUUCUCCGGAAUGAUGGAUUAUAAACACCAUGAGCCUGAUCUUCCACAUCCCACCAAUGUGCUGUUAUUAUAAGCUGAUUAUUAGACAGUCAGACUUGGACUGGAUGGCCAAAUUCAAAAUUAUCUGCCAGAUGCUUGCUAAGCUAUGAUGCAAGUGUUUUGCAAAAAGGAAUGUCAGUGAUGCUGCGAAGAUGAAGAAAUAUUUAUAUGGUUAGUCUUUGAGGAGCCGAGUAUCAGUAUGGCUUACUUCUGGGUAUGAAAUAUGUAAUCCAGCCACAUUUAAACGAGGGUGUGUUUAUUCUUUCUCUGGUUUGCUGUAUGAUCGUUAUUACCUUGUGAGCCAGCAUUAUAGAUCAACAACACGUAUAAAUGAACAUAGGGUGCUAACAGCUUCUUUACCUCAGGUCUUGGGACACUGGACUGGCCAACCUCACAUGUCUCUGGUCUGUAGGUACCUGUUUCUUAAGCUACGUUUUGGCUUUGCUUAUUUGCCUUUCUGUUUUGUAUAAACCCAAUCACUGCAACACGAUUUAAAUUGCUUCUAUUUGUAUUAGUUAUCACUUGUGCUAUCUUAGAAUGGUUUGUUUGAUUGAUUUUUGAAGAAGAAAGUGAGUAGAAAGGAAAGACAGAUCUAAGCAAUCCAAAUGGGGAAAAGAACAUAUUUCCUGGAGACCCUCCACAUAACUAUCCCCAUAUGGCAGAUAUAAGGUAUAUCCUGUGAUUCCAGAAAGUCGAAGGCAUUCCUUUGCACGUGCAUUUUUGGCAUCAUUUUUCAUGAUUGAUAGUGUUACCUAUGUCAAUUUUGCAGUUUCCCCAAACUGCCAUGGGGAUUAAGGCUGCCACUUUCCUCACAAAACCUCGCACGCUGCACCAGCACAUUCCACAGAAUUCAUGGAAGUGUAAUGGCUUGAGGAAAUGUUACAGAAAUCUUUAAUAUUUAAACCUGAAGUCUUUUUAUUAAGCAUUGUGUCUGAAGAUGUUGAUAAACAAGCAAUGUAUUUGAUUCUACAUGUAAU